rnacentral:tmRNA from 1 species
GGGACUGUCUUGGUUUCGACAGGGUAUGAUUUGGUAUAGCACGCAGCCGAGUGAUUCUCGAUAAUCGUCACAAGCCUAUAAAUGGCAACUCAAAUCAAUUAGCUUUCGCUGCUUAAUUUAGCCUCAUAGAAGUCCCAUAAGGGGAAGCGAAACAUCAUACUUAGUUUCUUCUCUUGGCUAGGAUAUGGUGUAAGAUAAAGGGAAUAAGCUCUAUCGAUGUCUAUAAGGUAGAGACGAAAACUUAUAGGAUAGUUAAGAGUUGGUUCGUCAAUUAGCCUUACUCUUAAUGAACUCGACUAGUUGACUAAGCUGUAGUGGGUUAUAUUGGGUUUAUCUUGGACAGGAGUUCAAUUCUCCUCAGUUCCACCA